rnacentral:rRNA from 1 species
UACGAAGGGGGCUAGCGUUGCUCGGAAUUACUGGGCGUAAAGCGCGUGUAGGCGGGUCUUUUAAGUCAGGGGUGAAAUCCUGGAGCUCAACUCCAGAACUGCCUUUGAUACUGAGGAUCUUGAGUUCGGGAGAGGUGAGUGGAACUGCGAGUGUAGAGGUGAAAUUCGUAGAUAUUCGCAAGAACACCAGUGGCGAAGGCGGCUCACUGGCCCGAUACUGACGCUGAGGCACGAAAGCGUGGGGAGCAAACAGG